rnacentral:rRNA from 1 species
UACGUAGGGGGCAAGCGUUGUCCGGAUUUAUUGGGCGUAAAGAGCGUGUAGGCGGUUUGGUAGGUCCGUUGUGAAAACUCGAGGCUCAACCUCGAGACGCCGAUGGAAACCAUCAGACUAGAGUCCGGAAGAGGAGAGUGGAAUUCCUGGUGUAGCGGUGAAAUGCGCAGAUAUCAGGAGGAACACCAAUAGCGAAGGCAGCUCGCUGGGACGUUACUGACACUGAGGCGCGAAAGCGUGGGGAGCGAACAGG